AGCCUCCCGAUUCUUUACCCUCAGAUGUAAACAUGGGUCUGAGUGGCUUUAAAAGGAGGGGAAAAGUAAAACUGAAGUGGGCUUGGAUUCUUCAGUGAUGAACAAGUUCGUGUCAGACAAAA
rnacentral:snoRNA from 1 species